rnacentral:rRNA from 1 species
UACGAAGGGGGCUAGCGUUGUUCGGAUUUACUGGGCGUAAAGCGCACGUAGGCGGAUUGUUAAGUUGGGGGUGAAAUCCUGGAGCUCAACUCCAGAACUGCCUUCAAUACUGGCAAUCUCGAGUCCGGAAGAGGUAAGUGGAACUCCUAGUGUAGAGGUGGAAUUCGUAGAUAUUAGGAAGAACACCAGUGGCGAAGGCGGCUCACUGGCUCGGGUACUGACGCUGAGGUGCGAAAGCGUGGGGAGCAAACAGGG